rnacentral:rRNA from 1 species
CAUAAAGAUUCAGCUUGCUGAAUCCGGUGCUGACGAGCGGCGAACGGGUGAGUAACGCGUAGGAAUCUACCCAGUAGCGGGGGAUAGCCCGAGGAAACUCGGAUUAAUACCGCAUACGCCCUGAGGGGGAAAGGGGGCAAUUUAUUGCUCUCACUAUUGGAUGAGCCUGCGUAAGAUUAGCUUGUUGGUAGGGUAAUGGCCUACCAAGGCGACGAUCUUUAGCUGGUCUGAGAGGACGAUCAGCCACAUUGGGACUGAGACACGGCCCAGACAUCUACGGAUGGCAGCAGUUAAGAAUAUUGGACAAUGGGGGCAACCCUGAUCCAGGUAUACCGCGUGUGUGAAGAAGGCCCUAGGGUUGUAAAGCACUUUAAUCAGAGAAGAAGCAUUUUAAGUUAAUACCUUAAUUUGUUGACGUUAACUGAAGAAUAAGGACCGGCUAACUCCGUGCCAGCAGCCGCGGUAAUACGGAGGGUCCAAGCGUUAAUCGGAAUUACUGGGCGUAAAGCGCGCGUAGGCGGUUUAGCAAGUUGUAUGUGAAAGCCCUGGGCUCAACCUAGGAACUGCAUCCAAAACUACUAAGCUAGAGUGCGAGAGAGGAGAGUAGAAUUUCUGGUGUAGCGGUGAAAUGCGUAGAUAUCAGAAGGAAUACCAAUGGCGAAGGCAGCUCUCUGGCUCGUCACUGACGCUGAGGUGCGAAAGCGUGGGUAGCAAACAGGAUUAGAUACCCUGGUAGUCCACGCCGUAAACGAUGACAACUAGCCGUUGGGCAGAUUUAACUGUUCAGUGGCACAGCUAACGCAUUAAGUUGUCCGCCUGGGGAGUACGGCCGCAAGGCUAAAACUCAAAUGAAUUGACGGGGGCCCGCACAAGUGGUGGAGCAUGUGGUUUAAUUCGAUGCAACGCGAAGAACCUUACCAAUCCUUGAAAUCUAGCGAAGUUCGCAGAGAUGUGAAUGUGCCUUCGGGAACGCU